UGGGGAAUAUUGCACAAUGGGCGCAAGCCUGAUGCAGCCAUGCCGCGUGUAUGAAGAAGGCCUUCGGGUUGUAAAGUACUUUCAGCGGGGAGGAAGGGAGUAAAGUUAAUACCUUUGCUCAUUGACGUUACCCGCAGAAGAAGCACCGGCUAACUCCGUGCCAGCAGCCGCGGUAAUACGUAGGGCGCGAGCGUUGUCCGGAAUUAUUGGGCGUAAAGGGCUUGUAGGCGGCGUGUUGCGCCUGCUGUGAAAACGCGGGGCUUAACUUCGGGCGUGGAGUGGGUACGGGCAGGCUUGAGUGUGGUAGGGGUGACUGGAAUUCCAGGUGUAGCGGUGGAAUGCGCAGAUAUCUGGAGGAACACCGAUGGCGAAGGCAGGUCACUGGGCCAUUACUGACGCUGAGGAGCGAAAGCAUGGGUAGCGAACAGG
rnacentral:rRNA from 1 species